CCCUACGGGGUGCACCAGGCACAAGUUCGCCAUCGAGAAGAACGAGCGGUGGUGCAUUCAGGUGGUGCUUGAUGUCUGAUGGCUCUAUGUCUGAUGGCUCUAUGUCUGAUGAUGUUCUAUGUGUGAUAAUUGUGGACGUGUGAUAUAUGGAAAUUGAGAAGAUCGAUGAUAACAUCUACGAGGUGCCAAUCGGCUACCGGCCGGGAAUGCGGGUGCCGGGCAGGAUAUUCGUCUCAGCCGCCCUGCGGGAGAUGGUCGAGCCGGGGACGGUCGACCAGGUGGCCAAUGUCGCCACCCUUCCCGGAAUCGUCGGACACUCCAUGGCCAUGCCCGAUGCCCACCUGGGCUACGGCUUUCCCAUCGGCGGGAGGGC
rnacentral:rRNA from 1 species